rnacentral:rRNA from 1 species
CUGAUCAUGGCCACGCCUGUCUGAGGGUCG